GACGAACGCUGGCGGCGUGCUUAACACAUGCAAGUCGAACGCUGAAGCUCAGCUUUUGUUGGGUGGAUGAGUGGCGAACGGGUGAGUAACACGUGAGUAACCUGCCCCCUUCUUUGGGAUAACGCCCGGAAACGGGUGCUAAUACUGGAUAUUCACUGGUCUUCGCAUGGGGGUUGGUGGAAAGGGUUUUUCUGGUGGGGGAUGGGCUCGCGGCCUAUCAGCUUGUUGGUGGGGUGAUGGCCUACCAAGGCUUUGACGGGUAGCCGGCCUGAGAGGGUGACCGGUCACAUUGGGACUGAGAUACGGCCCAGGCUCCUACGGGAGGCAGCAGUGGGGAAUAUGGCACAAUGGGCGCAAGCCUGAUGCAGCGACGCCGCGUGAGGGAUGGAGGCCUUCGGGUUGUGAACCUCUUUCGCUAAUGGUCAAGCCGCAACAAUGGUUGUGGUGAGGGUAGUGGGUAAAGAAGCGCCGGCUAACUACGUG
rnacentral:rRNA from 1 species